rnacentral:tRNA from 1 species
GGUGCUGUGGCUUAAGUGGUAGAGCGCUUCUCUUGAGCUGAAGAGCUGAGGGACAGCACCC